UAGCGGAGGAAAAGAAACCAACCGGGAUUGCCUUAGUAACGGCGAGUGAAGCGGCAAAAGCUCAAAUUUGAAAUCUGGUACCUUCGGUGCCCGAGUUGUAAUUUGGAGAGGGCAACUUUGGGGCCGUUCCUUGUCUAUGUUCCUUGGAACAGGACGUCAUAGAGGGUGAGAAUCCCGUGUGGCGAGGAGUGCGGUUCUUUGUAAAGUGCCUUCGAAGAGUCGAGUUGUUUGGGAAUGCAGCUCUAAGUGGGUGGUAAAUUCCAUCUAAAGCUAAAUAUUGGCGAGAGACCGAUAGCGAACAAGUACAGUGAUGGAAAGAUGAAAAGAACUUUGAAAAGAGAGUGAAAAAGUACGUGAAAUUGUUGAAAGGGAAGGGCAUUUGAUCAGACAUGGUGUUUUGUGCCCUCUGCUCCUUGUGGGUAGGGGAAUCUCGCAUUUCACUGGGCCAGCAUCAGUUUUGGUGGCAGGAUAAAUCCAUAGGAAUGUAGCUUGCCUCGGUAAGUAUUAUAGCCUGUGGGAAUACUGCCAGCUGGGACUGAGGACUGCGACGUAAGUCAAGGAUGCUGGCAUAAUGGUUAUAUGCCGCCCGUCUUG
rnacentral:rRNA from 1 species